GAUGAACGCUGGCGGCGUGCCUAAUACAUGCAAGUCGAGCGAACGGACGAGAAGCUUGCUUUUCUGAUGUUAGCGGCGGACGGGUGAGUAACACGUGGAUAACCUACCUAUAAGACUGGGAUAACUUCGGGAAACCGGAGCUAAUACCGGAUAAUAUUUUGAACCGCAUGGUUCAAAAGUGAAAGACGGUCUUGCUGUCACUUAUAGAUGGAUCCGCGCUGCAUUAGCUAGUUGGUAAGGUAACGGCUUACCAAGGCAACGAUGCAUAGCCGACCUGAGAGGGUGAUCGGCCACACUGGAACUGAGACACGGUCCAGACUCCUACGGGAGGCAGCAGUAGGGAAUCUUGCGCAAUGGGCGAAAGCCUGACGGAGCAACGCCGCGUGAGUGAUGAAGGUCUUCGGAUCGUAAAACUCUGUUAUUAGGGAAGAACAUAUGUGUAAGUAACUGUGCACAUCUUGACGGUACCUAAUCAGAAAGCCACGGCUAACUACGUG
rnacentral:rRNA from 1 species